UACGGAGGGUGCAAGCGUUAAUCGGAAUUACUGGGCGUAAAGCGCGCGUAGGUGGUUGAAUAAGUCGAUUGUGAAAUCCCCGGGCUUAACCUGGGAAUUGCAGUGGAUACUGGCGAGCUAGAGUACGGUAGAGGAAGGUGGAAUUCCCGGUGUAGCGGUGAAAUGCGUAGAGAUCGGGAGGAACACCAGUGGCGAAGGCGGCUCACUGGACGACUGUUGACGCUGAGGUGCGAAAGCGUGGGGAGCAAACAGG
rnacentral:rRNA from 1 species